AACAGGUGGAGAACAGGUACCACCAUUAAAAAAAUGUGGCGAAUUCCGAAAAGCCAUACGAGUAGGAAAUUU
rfam:Paludibacter propionicigenes WB4, complete genome.